UCUCCUUCUCUUCCUUCACUGUAGAAAUCCCCGGUUUGACCAUAAGGGCCCUGCCCUCUUCAUCCUCGUCUGACGCCUCUGCGGUCUGGUGUGUGAGGAAGAGAAUAGGGAAAGAAUGGACACAUUCAUCACGUCAUUAAUUAACAGGUCCUGGCAGAGUUGUGCAGACUCAGGACAACUGAGGUUUGGAGGAAUACGCAGGUUUAAAGAGGAGUCCGUAAUUUGCUUUCUAAUAAUCAUAAUAUUUUCCUCAAAGAAGUUCAUGAAUUUAUCACUGCUAAAGUGAAAGUUAUCCUCUCUUGGGGAAUGCUGCUUUUUAGUAUACACAUAUACAGUUCUUGUUCUACCUAACUUUCUGCUCUGUUCUUUCUUUUAGUUUUACUUUGAGUCAAAUUCUGGAUAUGUUGCUCAGACAAGGCGUGCAACAUUGCAGUUAUCCCUCAGAGAUUGUGAUAGCGAUGGGUCAGAUAUGGACUAUGAGGGGGAGACAGGUAAUUUGCCAGCCAGGCUGUUGAAUGUAUAUGCUGAACCUAUGCAAACUGAUCAUGACAGGAACAACGUUAUCAGUGAUUAUGACCUACCCCUCACCACCCCACACUCUCCUCCCUGAGACUGGGUUGGGUCAUGGACCCAGUGUCGUUCUUGGUGUUGCAGAGCAAUCUCAGGUGCCUCAAGGUUGCAAGUUCCUUCAUAACAACCUCUUCACUUCACUUGCACUCCUCGAUGAAAUGACAAAAAUGUAUUAUUAUUAAUCCGUUAUUUUACCAGGUAAGUUGACUGAGAACAUGUUCUCAUUUGCAGCAACGACCUGGGGAAUAGUUACAGGGGAGAGGAGGGGGAUUAAUGAGCCAAUUGUAAAGAGGAUAUGGGAGUUCUGGAAUGAUGAGGCAAAAUCUUCUGUUUGAUGUCCAAUUCAAGCCACAGAAGGACUUCAUGAAGUUACCUCAGGGAACCUCUGAGGUUCUGACCAAAGGAUACAAGUUGCUGGUCCGUUAGAAAGACAAUAACAUUGUCACAGUGGCAACAAACAUAGAGGAGAAAUACAGUGAGACCUCUGUCAAGAGAGGAACAAGGAGCAAUGUGCCUUUUGACAAAGUCCCACAACCAAAAUGCAUCAACUGAUAAAAUGAUAAAAUGGGUGGUGUUGAACUUCACAACCUACAGGUUUCAAGAUACCAUAUCUCCAUAAGGUCUAAGAAGUGGCGGUGGCCCAUCUUUUCAUGGUCUCUCAACAGUGCACUUGUAAACAGCCAUUUAUUUGACAGAGAUGUUAUGGGAGGGACCAUCAACCUGCUCACCUUCUCAUGGAUAGUGGCACAGUCUCUUAUGCAAAAGUUUGGCACGUAACCACUGAGCCACGGGAGGAGAUCUCUACUGCUACUACUGUUGAAGAUCAGGCAAGAUAUGACAAAGCUUCCCACUGGCCAAUCAUCAUGGUGCACCGGUUCCAUAGAUGUUGUCAUUGUGACAAAUGCACUACCUAUGCAUGUGAGAAAUACAAAGCGCCACUGCACAUUGAGUGCUACAAGAUAUACCACAGACAGUAGAAAAGGAGAUAAGAGCGAAUGAAAAGGGGCUGAAAAAUCCCUCAAUAAAGGGUGAGGAGAAGCAGUUCAACAGACUUCUAGGAAGAAAAGAAAAGUUGACAAAAAUGGAAGAAGACAAUCAAAAUGACUGAAAUGUUUUUGGAAAAGAGGAUCAAUUGAUUGAAUUCACACUGUAUGACAGUAGGUCUGACUGAUCGAAGUUCAAAAUAGUGAUGCACAAACUAAUCGUGCACUUGGUUCUGAAGCCUACCUCUAAUGUAUGUAUGUAUGUAUGUGUAUAAUAUAUAUAUAUAUCUUUUUUUUGUAGGCUUCUACUUGAAUGCAUGUUCUACAGGCUACCUCGAUCCUAAAUGUUACCUUUGUUCAAUGUGAAUGAAUGACACGACUGCUAUACAGUUGUUAGUGAAUGUUGCACUCAGAUGUCACAAUGACAAUGUUACAAUGAAUAUUGCACUAAAGUACAAGUUCAAAUGUUACAAUAAAGUUACAAUAUUGAUGUUUCAAUACGUUACAAUAAAGGAACAAUGUUGAAAUA